rnacentral:rRNA from 1 species
UACGAAGGGGGCUAGCGUUGCUCGGAUUGACUGGGCGUAAAGGGCGCGUAGGCGGAUAGUACAGUCAGGCGUGAAAUUCCUGGGCUCAACCUGGGGGCUGCGUUUGAUACGUAUUGCCUGGAGUUCGGAAGAGGGUCGUGGAAUUCCCAGUGUAGCGGUGAAAUGCGUAGAUAUUGGGAGGAACACCAGUGGCGAAGGCGGCUCACUGGACCGGAACUGACGCUGAGGCGCGAAAGCGUGGGGAGCAAACAGG